rnacentral:pre_miRNA from 2 species
UCUUGUGGAUGAACAAAGUGAAUGGCUUCUUGAGAUGGAACCUACUCCUGAUGAAGAUGCUGUGAA